UCCGUAGGCGGUCUUUUAAGUCAGUGGUGAAAUCCCAGAGCUCAACUCUGGAACUGCCAUUGAAACUGAAAGACUUGAAUAUGGUUGAGGUAGGCGGAAUACGUUAUGUAGCGGUGAAAUGCAUAGAUAUAACGUAGAACGCCAAUUGCGAAGGCAGCUUACUAAACCAUUAUUGACGCUGAUGGACGAAAGCGUGGGGAGCGAACAGGAUUAGAUACCCUGGUAGUCC
rnacentral:rRNA from 1 species